rnacentral:rRNA from 1 species
GGGGGUACGAGAAGGCAGCUACACGGCGACGUGAGGCUAAUCCUAAAUCCUCUCUCAGUUCGGAUUGGAGUCUGCAACCCGACUCCAUGAAGCUGGAUUCGCUAGUAAUCGCGCAUCAGCCACGGCGCGGUGAAUACGUUCCCGGGCCUUGUACACACCGCCCGUCAAGCCAUGAAAGCCGGGGGUACCUGAAGUGCGUAACCGCGAGGAGCGCCCUAGGGUAAAACUGGUGAUUGGGGCUAAGUCGUAACAAGGUAAC